GACGAACGCUGGCGGCGUGCCUAAUACAUGCAAGUAGAACGCUGAAGAGAGGAGCUUGCUCUUCUUGGAUGAGUUGCGAACGGGUGAGUAACGCGUAGGUAACCUGCCUUGUAGCGGGGGAUAACUAUUGGAAACGAUAGCUAAUACCGCAUAACAAUGGAUGACACAUGUCAUUUAUUUGAAAGGGGCAAUUGCUCCACUACAAGAUGGACCUGCGUUGUAUUAGCUAGUAGGUGAGGUAAUGGCUCACCUAGGCGACGAUACAUAGCCGACCUGAGAGGGUGAUCGGCCACACUGGGAAUGAGAAACGGCCCAGACUCCUACGGGAGGCAGCAGUAGGGAAUUUUCGGCAAUUGGGGCAACCCUGACCGAGCAACGCCGCGUGAGUGAAGAAGGUUUUCGGACCGUAAAGCUCUGUUGUAAGUCAAGAACGGGUGUGAGAGUGGAAAGUUCACACUGUGACGGUAGCUUACCAGAAAGGGACGGCUAACUACGUG
rnacentral:rRNA from 1 species